GGCCCAAAUUUGAAGUAGGGUAGAUUAGUAGGAUCAUCCAACCAUACUGAUUUACUCUAUUUCAAGUUUGUACCC
rfam:Haemonchus placei strain MHpl1 genome assembly, scaffold: HPLM_scaffold0002429